ACUGCCGGUAGGGUACGAAUAAGCAUCGGCUAACUCCGUGCCAGCAGCCGCGGUAAUACGGAGGAUGCAAGCGUUAUCCGGAUUUAUUGGGUUUAAAGGGUGCGCAGGUGGUUGAAUAAGUCAGUGGUGAAAGUCUGCCGCUUAACGGUAGGAUUGCCAUUGAUACUGUUUGACUUGAGUUUAGGUGAGGUAGGCGGAAUGUGUAGUGUAGCGGUGAAAUGCAUAGAUAUUACACAGAACACCGAUUGCGAAGGCAGCUUACUAAUCUACAACUGACACUGAGGCACGAAAGCGUGGGGAUCAAACAGGAUUAGAUACCCUGGUAGUCCACGCUGUAAACGAUGAUCACUCGCUGUUUGCGAUAUACAGUAAGCGGCUAAGCGAAAGCGAUAAGUGAUCCACCUGGGGAGUACGAUCGCAAGGUUGAAACUCAAAGGAAUUGACGGGGGCCCGCACAAGCGGAGGAACAUGUGGUUUAAUUCGAUGAUACGCGAGGAACCUUACCUGGGCUUAAAUGGGGAGUGACAGCUGGCGAAAGUUGGUUUUCUUCGGACACUCUUCAAGGUGCUGCAUGGUUGUCGUCAGCUCGUGCCGUGAGGUGUCGGGUUAAGUCCCAUAACGAGCGCAACCCUUACUGUUAGUUGCCAGCGGGUAGAGCCGGGAACUCUAACGGGACUGCCACCGUAAGGUGAGAGGAAGGUGGGGAUGACGUCAAAUCAGCACGGCCCUUAUGUCCAGGGCUACACACGUGUUACAAUGGCCGGUACAAAGGGCAGCUACACCGCGAGGUGAUGCUAAUCUCGAAAGCCGGUCUCAGUUCGGAUCGAAGUCUGCAACCCGACUUCGUGAAGUUGGAUUCG
rnacentral:rRNA from 1 species